rnacentral:ncRNA from 1 species
AUCUUCAGGGCGGGGUGCAAGUCCCCACCGGCGGUAACAGUCCGCGAGCCUUUUGGCAGACCCGGUGCAACUCCGGGACCGACAGUAUAGUCUGGAUGGAAGAAGAG